rnacentral:rRNA from 1 species
UAAUAGAUACCCCGGUAGUCCACGCCGUAACGAUGGGCACUAGGUCCUUGGGGGAGCGACCCCUUGGAGGGCCGGGCGCAAACGCAUUAAGUGCCCCGCCUGGGGAGUACGGCCGCAAGGCUGAAACUCAAAGGAAUUGACGGGGGCCCGCACAAGCGGUGGAGCAUGUGGUUUAAUUCGACGCAACGCGAAGAACCUUACCUGGGCUUGACAUGGCCGGGAAUUUCCGGGGAAACCUGGAAAGCUCUUCGGAGCUCGGUCACAGGUGCUGCAUGGCUGUCGUCAGCUCGUGUCGUGAGAUGUUGGGUUAAGUCCCGCAACGAGCGCAACCCUUGUCACUAGUUACCAGCGGGUAAAGCCGGGAACUCUAGUGAGACUGCCGGUGCCAAACCGGAGGAAGGUGGGGACGACGGUCAAGUCAUCAUGGUCCUUACGUCCAGGGCUACACACGUGCUACAAUGGAUGGGACAAUGGGUCGCCAAAGCGCAAGCUGGAGCCAAUCCCAUAAAUCCAUCCUCAGUUCGGAUUGUCGUCUGCAACUCGACGGCA